UAAAGCCUCGACUAUCUGGCAACUUUUAGGAAAUUCAUUAUUUCUCUACUAAAAUAUACUAAGCACGUAAAACGCAGACUGGUCACACUAUGCCCGCAAUUUUUGUGGGCAAAAUAAAUCCGAAAUGUUUGUAGCGAACUAAACCGAUUUUUCAGUUAUUAAAUCAUUCGAAUUAACUACGGAAAAUGCAGUUCGUAAAAACAUGGGAGAGCUGCAGUAAUACAAUUUCCGCAAAAGGCUUGAGAAGAGGACGAUGUGAAUAAGGUUGGAUGAAGAAAACUACUUUGCAUCUACGGUUUUGUUCCUGCUGAUGGAAAGGAUUACGUUAUUCUGUGCUAAUAGUAUUCGAAUGUUUUGUUAAGAAAGUAAGGACCAGGC